rnacentral:lncRNA from 1 species
GGGGUCAUGCGUGAUACAAAUUAUUCUCCAGAGCUCAGUAACACAUUGGAGCCCCAAGAGUCCCUGCCAUGCUGCAAAACAUGUCGUCUCUGCAGUUACUCUUGCUCUCAAACAGCAGCUUCAGUGGCUCCAUCCCGGCUUCCCAGGCUCACGAACUUCCGAGCCAUUGACUUCUCGGUUAACAGGUUCUCGGGGGAGAUACUGGCAAGCAUUGGUCGACUGUUUGCCAACGUCACACUGUGGA